CUCUGUGACUCCUACGGGAGGCAGCAGUGGGGAAUAUUGCACAAUGGGCGCAAGCCUGAUGCAGCCAUGCCGCGUGUGUGAAGAAGGCCUUCGGGUUGUAAAGCACUUUCAGUUGUGAGGAAGGUGGUGUCGUUAAUAGCGGCAUCAUUUGACGUUAGCAACAGAAGAAGCACCGGCUAACUCCGUGCCAGCAGCCGCGGUAAUACGGAGGGUGCGAGCGUUAAUCGGAAUUACUGGGCGUAAAGCGCAUGCAGGUGGUUUGUUAAGUCAGAUGUGAAAGCCCGGGGCUCAACCUCGGAACUGCAUUUGAAACUGGCAGACUAGAGUACUGUAGAGGGGGUAGAAUUUCAGGUGUAGCGGUGAAAUGCGUAGAGAUCUGAAGGAAUACCGGUGGCGAAGGCGGCCCCCUGGACAAAGACUGACGCUCAGAUGCGAAAGCGUGGGGAGCAAACAGGAUUAGAUACCCUGGUAG
rnacentral:rRNA from 1 species